GAUGAACGCUGGCGGCGUGCUUAACACAUGCAAGUCGAACGGAAAGGCCCGGCUUUUGUGGGGUGGUCGAGUGGCGAACGGGGGAGUAACACGCGAGUAACCUGCCCUUGAAUUUGGGAUAACUUCAGGAAACUGGGGCUAAUACCGGAUAUGAGCUCCUGCAGCAUGGGGGGGGUUGGAAAGUUUCGGUGGUUGGGGAUGGACUCGCGGCUUAUCAGCUUGUUGGGGGGGUUGUGGCUUACCAAGGCUUUGACGGGUAGCCGGCCUAAGGGGGUGACAGGCCACAUAGACCCUGAGGUGCGGCAGCGACUCCUACGGAAGGGAGCAGGGGGGAAUAUUGCCCAAUGGACGGAAGCCUAAUGCAGCAACUCCGCGGGCGGGAUGACGGCCUUAGGAGUGUAAAACACUUUCGCCUGUAACUAAGCGUGAGUGGCGGUAAUGUAUAGAGAAACACCGGGUAACUACGUG
rnacentral:rRNA from 1 species